rnacentral:tRNA from 1 species
GCCAUGGUUCAGUGGUUCAGCAUCUGCUUUGCAUGCAGAGGGUUCCAGGUUCAGUCCCCAGUAUCUUCA